rnacentral:rRNA from 1 species
UGGGGAAUUUUGGACAAUGGGCGAAAGCCUGAUCCAGCAAUGCCGCGUGUGUGAAGAAGGCCUUCGGGUUGUAAAGCACUUUUGUCCGGAAGGAAAGUCCUUGGCUCUAAUACAGUCGGGGGAUGACGGUACCGGAAGAAUAAGCACCGGCUAACUACGUGCCAGCAGCCGCGGUAAUACGUAGGGUGCAAGCGUUAAUCGGAAUUACUGGGCGUAAAGCGUGCGCAGGCGGUUUGCUAAGACCGAUGUGAAAUCCUCGGGCUCAACCUGGGAACUGCAUUGGUGACUGGCAGGCUAGAGUAUGGCAGAGGGGGGUAGAAUUCCACGUGUAGCAGUGAAAUGCGUAGAGAUGUGGAGGAAUACCGAUGGCGAAGGCAGCCCCCUGGGCCAAUACUGACGCUCAUGCACGAAAGCGUGGGGGAGCAAAACAGGAUU